rnacentral:rRNA from 1 species
AUUGAACGCUGGCGGCAGGCCUAACACAUGCAAGUCGAGCGAAGCGGCGGAUGGGUGAGUAACGCGUGGGUAACCUGCCCUUAAGUCUGGGAUACCAUUUGGAAACAGCUGCUAAUACCGGAUACUAAAGGAUGGACCUGCGAUGCAUUAGCUAGUUGGUAAGGUAACGGCUUACAAAGGCGAUGAUGCAUAGCCGAGUUGAUAGACGGAGCGGCAACAUUGGGACGGAGACACGGCCCAAAAUCCUACGGGAGGCAGCAGUAGGGAAUCGUCCACAAGGGACGAAAGUCUGAUGGAGCAAUGCCGCGUGAGUGAAGAAGGUUUUCGGAUCGUAAAGCUCUGUUGUUGGUGAAGCGGUAAUCAACCAGAAAGUCACGGCUAACUACGUGCCAGCAGCCGCGGUAAUAC